ensembl:lncRNA
AUGUUAAAGCACAUUUCCCCAUUGAAGUGCAUUGUAAUCAGACCUCUGUCACAGAACAAAUUAAACCCAUUUGCCAUGGCCCCAUGGGGUUUCAAGGGCUUCAGCCAGCCUUUCCUCCCUCCCUUUCUCUCCCUGAGCAGCUGUCUCUCCGACUCCAUACCACAGUCCAUGCCUGCCUGCCUGCCUGCCUGCCUGCCUGCCUGCCUGCCUGCCUGCCUGCCUGCCUGCCUGCCUGCCUGCCUUCCUUCCUUCCUUCCUUCCUUCCUUCCUUCCUUCCUUCCUUCCUUCCUCCCUCCCUCCCUCCCUCCCUCCCUCCAUGAGUGGCUCCCUCUGUCUCCCUGCCACCAUUUGCACCAAGGCACCUCCCUUCUUUCUGUGAGCAUGGCCUGCUUAAGUUCAGGGUAGCUGCCAAAGCUCCCUCCCUCCCUCUCUGUAAGCUUGGCCUGAAUCAGUCUCCCAGCGCAGCUGCCAUUUUGGAAAGGGGAAGGCACAUAACGCGGAUCUGGCUCACAUGUCAAAUAAAAAAAUCAGAUGUGCGAUGGCUCACAUUCAAAAAGCUCACAACUUGGGAUACUCAUAAGUUGAGGUUCCACUGUGCAUAGCCUUCAAGAGGGGACAGGGGAAAAGACAGGGAAAGAAAUGGAGGCUACCAGCAUCCAGUACCUCAUCUGAUUUAGAAGCUAAGCAGGAUAGGUAAGUACUUAGUCUGAAAAAGAAAGAAGACUAAGAAAGACUAGGAAAAAAAUUCCAACUCAAAAUCCUGGAAACUGCCCAAUGGUCUGAUUCAGAAUGACAGAACUUUCUGUUUACUAAACAAUAGCUAUAUUACAUCACCGAUUUGAUCUCUACAGAAAAUGCUCCAAGGGAAUAGUGUGGAGUCUUAUGAUAUUGCAAAUAAUUCAUUUCAGAACAUAACUGAACUAACUUUGUCUACAUAGUAAACACAAGAUUUUUGCAAAUGUUGGUUUUGUUACUAGCAUGAAGCUAGAUUUUUUUUUUGAAAUACAAAUGCCUAAUUCCUAAUGUACGCCCUUUACAACGGAAUUGGGCAAAUUUGGUUCAGUUGGUUUUAGCUUAAAACCCUGGCAGCCUUGGCCAGCAAAGCCUAUGGUAAAAAUUAAGGGAGUUGUAGUCGGAAAUGUCUGAAGAACCACAUUUGUCUAGUUUCAAAUAUAUGUGUUUAGGGUACAUAAGUACCAACUAUGUCAGAAUCAGAGCAAAUGUCAUACUGUAGGACAAUGGCAACCAAAAUAAUAGCAUCUAGCAUCAGGGCUCCCUAAAAUUUUGCCUUAAUCACUGAAUAAAGCAGCUUCUAUCUGCUAAUGAUUCCAUCAGCCAAGGACAAAAGGAGAAAGACUACAUCCUCCGCAGAUACAGAGAAAUGUUCGAGCAGAUGGAGGGGAAAACAAAACUAUGUAAGAAAAAUGUGGAAAUGAAGCUUGCUAAAUUUCAGUAUUAUAUUUAUGAGAGUAAAGAAAUUAUUCUGGAGAUAGAAGAGUGUCAGUCCAUACUAAGGACAAAUUUUCACACAGGCAGCAAAUUACAGUAGUUUUAACAGAUUUAAGAAUAAUGUUUUUAUCAUGAUAAGGUAAGGGAUAAACAUGCAUAUAGAGCUUGCCUUUCCAAUGACACACAUUAUAUUAUAUCUAAUAAAUAAUAAAAGACUCACUCUAAAAAGGAUUUAUGUGUACCAUUACAUGCUUUAGCUGUUUAUCAUUCACUAGAUGAAGAACUUGUGUCUCAUGGUGAACAGAAAAGGGUUGGAGGAUUGGAUGCAAGAUUGAUGGAAAAUUAAAUGUAAUUUUCCCCAGUCUGACCAAUGGAUAUUGAAAGUAUAAAUUGCAACAUAGAUAAAAAUAAUGAAAAGAAAACCUAUCUAGUAUAAAAAAGAGACAUUCACAAUACUGAAACAGCAUGCAGGACACAGAUACAAAACUCAAGCACGCAGCAAAAACAAAACAUGGUCCCUAAAAGACCAGAAGUCUGCCAAUUUCUGUGUUUCAUUCUUAACUGCAAGACAACAGAAUUUACAAUUUACAGGUUCAAUAGGUUAUCCAGCCACUUAUGCAUAUUUAUAACUGUGAUUGUAUAAUCACAAUCCUUGUAACAGCCAAGAACAGAAUAUUACAGAACCAUGCUGUCCCAAAUACUAUCCAGUGGGAACAGGACUUGCUAAAGAUUCAUACAAAAUAAUAUUCUAUAGAAAAUAUGGAAAGAAGGUCACAUUCAAAAGAUUUAGCAAAGUUCUUCAGACUUAGAAAUGAGAUAAGAUGAAUGUGACUGUUCUCUCAUUCUAACCAUGUGGGCACCUGGAAGGAUGCUAGAACUAUGUGAUGCUUGUAUUAGAAAUAUCCCAGAAAUUCAGUAUUCUUGUUUCCUUCCCUUUAAUUCUUUAUUCACCUUCUUGUUUCCUUUCUAAACAUUUGGGGGAUGGUAUUUUAAGGUACAUGGUAUUAACAACAUUGUUCAUCUGGAGAACUAUAUUUUGUUGAUACUCAGUGGGUAGCAAUUUGUGUCGAAAGUGUAACAAGGGGAAGUCAAAUAAAGAAAAAUGAGAAAACUUCCAAUCUCAUAUACUAUUGAAAGAAAUCUGUAGGCACAGAAGGUUACUCCUAACUGCCUGAAAUAAAUAGCAAAAACUAGGUCUGUUCUUAUUUGCUUUCCAAAGUAUCUUUAAAACUGGAAGAAGAUAAUCAUAGCUUCGCCUCUGCCACAACACAACAAAUGCCUCACAUCUAUGUUGGCAUUUAGCCAAAUCCAACAUCUCAAAAGAAUUUUGAUAACUGAAUGUAACAUUUAGAUCACUUUUAUUGAGAAUCAGUAGGAGCAAUGAAUACAGUCAGCCCUGCAUGUUCCCUGGAGUUAGGGGCACAGGGCCCCAGUGAAAGUAAAAACUGAAUAAAAGAAAUCACAAUUUUCUUACUGAAUGGACACCUUUCUAGGGAUUUUUAGGUCUUCCAGCAAGAGUCUAUGGCUGACUUCCACUGAAAGCUGGCCAUAUAAUUGCCUUUGAGGACCUAGAAAUUCCUAGAGGUGUUCUCUCAAGAAAUCUCAUAGUCCGCCAGCAUGACUGGAAGACUUGACUAUAGAGUCACACUCUAGGACCAAGAGAUUCCUAGAGAAAGCACUUUUAAUCUAAUCUGUGAAUAAAGAAAACUGCUAAAGUCAAAAUUGCUAUUGUGGAGGGACAACUGGGACACAGAGUAGUUUUGAAGAUGAAAUUUGUCAAAUUUGGCUCUGAAAAGGGGUAUAAUAUAUUGCUACAACAGACUGUGUGUUACAGUUAAAGCUCUCUAAAUUUCCCAGCCCCCCAUCACGAAUAGAGAAUGUUGUGUGUUAUAGAUCAUAAAGUAAUUUUUCCAAGUUCUGGUUCCAACAUAUGCUUCCACCAUUCCCAAAAUGCAUGCCUUUGACCUGUUAGACUGACAUUCACAUCCCAGCCUGCAGCUAUGUCUAUCACCAUGAAGGGUGCUUGUUUGGGAAACUAUUCAUCCAUCUUCCAAGCCUCAUCCUAAGAAAUGUGUAUCCAUGUGCAAAAUGAGAGUUUAAAAAAAUUGAAAGGGAGGAGAGAUGCUGAAGCAUAGGGGGUGGAUCCUAAUUGAUGUUCCCCAAGAUCAGUUUUCCAGCCAUCGCCAAUCAGCAUUCCACUGUAAGGUUGCAGUAAACUGCCUCUAGGGACUGUGUACAUACUGUUCUUGAAUCCUGUUCUGGGAGAAAAGAGGGGGGUAUAAAUCAAAUAAAAAAUAAACAAACAAACCUCACACAAAAUCUCACAAAAAUAGAUUCUGUAAGUAUAUGAGUUUGUGUCAGAAAGAGAUUGGCAAUACAUCUCACUCAUAAAACUUGUCGAAUUUCUAGAGUAUAACCUUAAUGUAAUGCAUUAGGAGACAGACUUCACCUACGUCACUGAAACUGGGACAUAUCAUGAAAUACGUCUAUUUAGGAUUGCAUUUUUAGUCCAGGUUUCAGAAAGACACUACUAUUCCUCAUUUUUGCUCUUGAUAGAUAAAAAAUAUAUGACAGAUCCAAUUAUGGGGCUGCAAAAUUCAAGCUAUAUAGAAGUAUAAAAAUAGAAAUAGAAGAUGGAAGGUUUAUAAAAAAAAUGCUUAAAUAUCAUUUAUGUCAGCCUUGCAUUGACAUCCCAGCAGCAUGAGACUGAGAAAUCUCAUUUUCAUCUUACAUUUGUGGAUAAAUCCUUGUUUUCACCCAUACUUCAAGGCAGAAUUAAGGACUGGUCUUCAAACUCCAUAAAACAGUAUCCUAAAUUACACAGCAAGAUCAAUGGCAUUUAUUAAUUAGACUCUUCCUUAAGAAAGUGUGAUCUUAAUGGCUGUUGCCAUGUGUAACAGAGCAAAAACUGAUAAUAUUGAUAUAAAGUAGGAAGGAUAAACUAUGAUAACUUUCAGGUUUCAAUACAGAUCCAAAUUAACUAAGCAGUAAAUGGAAAAACUUCACACAGCUACUGCUUAAAUCCAUUACAAAAGGAAAUGCUGUUAAUUCUUGGCUGUUGUGAGCCAUUUCUGUGCACAUGACAUACUUUUCUGACAAAGCUAUUUCAGUGGCACAAAAGAGGUCAUGUUAGUUAUUUCUGAAUUUGCUGUCUGACUGUGCUGCGUGCAUUUCCCCUCAGUAUCUCUGUUGACUUUAUUCUUUACAGUGUUCUUAGCCUCCUGGCAAAAGCUCUUGGUUUCCAUGGGUAACAGAUUACUUGCUCAGAUUUAACACAGAGAGAGAAACACAGAUCAUAUUUCUUCCCAAUUAGAUUCUCUGUGUGAUAUCAGAAUGUGUUCAUGCCACUGUGGCAUUAAGGCUGGGGAACCUUGUGAGUCACAUCAAUAAAGAACUGACCAGCUUUGACUUUCUUUCCAAAAAUAGAAGAUGACUGCAAGGAGACGAAGAUUGAAAGAAGAUGUGAUGUCAUUCUAAUGCACAAUGUUAAACUCUUCACAGAUGCAGAAAGAAGGGUGCGCUUUGGGCAAAACCAUGUGUAAGGACAGUGUCUCCAUAUUGCACUGCAGACUGUGAUAGAAAAAGGAUAACUUCAGUCACCAAGGCAGAAUGACAGCACAGCAUGAUUACAGCUAACUAUAGGGAAACCAAAUUUUGGGAUGAACACU